rnacentral:rRNA from 1 species
GACGAACGCUGGCGGCGUGCCUAAUACAUGCAAGUAGAACGCUGAAGGAGGAGCUUGCUCUUCUGGAUGAGUUGCGAACGGGUGAGUAACGCGUAGGUAACCUGCCUGGUAGAGGGGGAUAACUCUUGGAAACGAUAGCUAAUACCGCAUAAGAGUAGAUGUUGCAUGACAUUUGAUUAAAAGAUGCAAUUGCAUCACUACCAGAUGGUCCUGCGUUGUAUUAGCUAGUUGGUGGGGUAACGGCUCACCAAGGCGACGAUACAUAGCCGACCUGGGAGGGGGAUCGGCCACACUGGGACUUGGACACGGCCCAGACUCCUACGGGAGGCAGCAGUAGGGAAACUUCGGGAAUUGACGGAAGUCUGACCGAGCAACGCCGCGUGAGGGAAGAAGGUUUUCGGAUCGGAAAGCUCUUUUGUAAGAGAAGAACGAGUGUGAGAGUGGAAAGUGCACACUGUGACGGUAUCUUAUCAGAAAGAGACGGCUAACUACGUG